GAACUUAAGCAUAUCAAUAAGCGGAGGAAAAGAAACCAACAGGGAUUGCCUCAGUAACGGCGAGUGAAGCGGCAACAGCUCAAAUUUGAAAUCUGGCCGCAAGGUCCGAGUUGUAAUUUGUAGAGGAUGCUUUUGGCGAGGUGCCUUCCGAGUUCCCUGGAACGGGACGCCAUAGAGGGUGAGAGCCCCGUACGGUAGGACCACCAAGCCUCUGUAAAGCUCCUUCGACGAGUCGAGUAGUUUAGGAAUGCUGCUCUAAAUGGGAGGUGUACGUCUUCUAAAGCUAAAUACCGGCCAGAGACCGAUAGCGCACAAGUAGAGUGAUCGAAAGAUGAAAAGCACUUUGAAAAGAGGGUUAAAAAGUACGUGAAAUUGUUGAAAGGGAAGCAUUCAUGACCAGACUUGGGCUUGGUUGAACAUCCGGCGUUCUCGCCGGUGCACUCUGCCAGUCCAGGCCAGCAUCAGUUUGCCCCGGGGGAUAAAGGCGGCGGGAAUGUGGCUCCCUUCGGGGAGUGUUAUAGCCCGUCGUGUAAUGCCCUGGGGCGGACUGAGGAACGCGCUUCGGCACGGAUGCUGGCGUAAUGGUCAUCAAUGACCCGUCUUGAAACACGGACCAAGGAGUCGUCUUCGUAUGCGAGUGUUCGGGUGUCAAACCCCUACGCGUAAUGAAAGUGAACGUAGGUGAGAGCUUCGGCGCAUCACCGACCGAUCCUGAUGUUCUCGGAUGGAUUUGAGUAAGAGCAUACGGGGCCGGACCCGAAA
rnacentral:rRNA from 1 species